AUCACCAAGGGAACUUGUUAAAAUGCAAAUUCUAAUUUGAAGAAUUAGAUCAGGAAUGAAGUUGAAGAUUUUGCACUUUUAGCAAGCUCCUAGGGGAUGCCAG
rnacentral:pre_miRNA from 1 species